AUUGAACGCUGGCGGCAUGCUUACACAUGCAAGUCGAACGGUAACAGCACUUCGGUGGCUGACGAGUGGCGAACGGGUGAGUAAUGUAUCGGAACGUGCCCAGUAGUGGGGGAUAACUACUCGAAAGAGUGGCUAAUACCGCAUGAGAUCUCUGGAUGAAAGCGGGGGACCGUAAGGCCUCGCGCUACUGGAGCGGCCGAUAUCAGAUUAGGUUGUUGGUGGGGUAAAGGCCUACCAAGCCUGCGAUCUGUAGCUGGUCUGAGAGGACGACCAGCCACACUGGGACUGAGACACGGCCCAGACUCCUACGGGAGGCAGCAGUGGGGAAUUUUGGACAAUGGACGCAAGUCUGAUCCAGCAAUGCCGCGUGCAGGACGAAGGCCUUCGGGUUGUAAACUGCUUUUGUACGGAACGAAAAGCCUUCUUCUAAUACAGGAGGGUCAUGACGGUACCGUAAGAAUAAGCACCGGCUAACUACGUG
rnacentral:rRNA from 1 species